UUGACAGAAGAUAGAGAGCACAAGUGAACAUACCCAGAAAUGGCCUGUGUAUGAAUCUCCCUUGUGCUCUCUUCAUCUUCUGUCAA
rnacentral:pre_miRNA from 1 species